rnacentral:misc_RNA from 1 species
ACCACGCCUUUUAGAUUAACUACACAAUUAUUUUAAUACACGAUUUUCUUCUUUUUUAUUACUUCUCAAUUCCAUUUUGAUGUCCAGAAAAUAAUCGAUAUGGGUGAUGUUUCAAGCCCUUACAUUCAGCCGCCACCUCCUCAGAAAACCAACAUGCCUGUGCUAUAUUAUGGCCUUGUAAUUAUUGGGACAGCAGUUUUCGGAUUAGCCAUGUACAAUUUUAUCGUCGUCAAGUGGUGCGCGAAUCGUCGGCGUCAUGACCAGUCUGGCCAGAGACCAACCCUGUUUGUAGAGUCAGCAGCAGCUGGCCAGAGUUUGGACUCGUUCACUUUCAAGUACAGGAAGGAUGAUGAUAUGGGCACGAGAAGCCAAGGCAGUGAUUAUGAAUGUGCUGUUUGCUUAACGGUUUUUGAAGAGGGAGAAGAAAUCAGGCAAUUGCCAGGAUGCAAUCACUCCUUUCAUGCUCCUUGUAUAGAUAUGUGGCUGUAUUCUCACUCUGAUUGCCCGCUUUGUCGUGCCCGAGUUGUGGCUCCUUCUUCCUUCUGUCGUCGACAUUCUGUGGCAGCUACGCCAGAGAAUUCUCAGGAAAAUUUGCUGGGUGCAAACGUUCAUUUCAUGCCCCUUGUCUAGAGUUUUGGCCGUGUUGCCAAAUCAGAUUAAUUACUUCUCUGUCCGGCACGGCGGUGCCGGAAUAUUCUUGGAUUUUUUUCUUUAAUUACGGGUUCUGGUCUUUUUGUAUUUGUUGAUUAGGCACGAAAAUUUGGACAGCCUUGCAAAUCCUCCUUUCUGAAGGUCUGAGCAUAAGAUGAAGAUGAUUACUAUUAAUUGUCUGGUUUGGUCAACCAUUUUCCAGUAGACGUGUUGCAUGAUAUUCUGUGUUUCCACUGAGGGUUGAAUCUGUGCUGACAGCUGAGACGAUAGCUGCUGUAACAAAAAGAACUCGAUAUAACAAGCAGUCCAGCAAUCAAAUAUUAAACGUUCAAAGCACAGGAAAUAUAUACAGGUACAGGCACACACAGAGAGAAAGGAGAAAAAAUCAACACAAUUCUUUUCUUAUGCAUUGCACAAAUUUGUGCAUAAAUAUAUUCAAGUAAAUACUUCAUACAACUUCCACUUCUCCCCAAAACCAGGAGUUAAAUCCUGGGACAAUUUUCACCCAUGCUACACAGCCCAAACUAAUGAUCCUUUCACAGUUGUGUUGAUGUAAUUAUUUUACAAGUGUAACAAGAUUACAUCCUUCUUAAAUUAUCUAACCUUGCCUGUAAUUCACUAUCUAUCCCACUGUCAUCAUGCCCAGUUGUUUCCACUUGUGCAACCUUGCCUUUUGCAGCUGGUGCCGCUACAGUAGAUGAUGGUGCAUUCACAAGCUCUUGAUUGAUGUCAAUUCCAAUUUCAUCAAGAACCUGAUUCACUAGUUCUUCUGUUUCCUCCUCUUCCUCAUCCCCUUCCAAUGCAUCAUCAAUGGCAUCUCCCAUGACCUCAGUCACCAUUUCCAUCCUCUCAUUUUGCCUCUCAAACUCCUGCAUAAUUUUCUGCAGUGAUGGCAAGUUCAUUUGCCUAUUCAUCUGGCCCAUGGCCUUUGUAACGCCUUUCAUUGCCUCUCCCAUUGCUUGUGUUGAUUUCAAUGUCUGUAUAGCAUUUCAAAAGUUCAAAUGCACUACAUCAUUAAGACACAAACAAAAGAAUGUUCCCUAGUAGUUUUCUGAAAAACAAAGUUAAUAAAUUUGUGAAUUUAACAACACUGCAAAUCUCAAGACCCACAGAAGAGGUGGAACAAUACGGCCAAAUAGGGUUCAAUAUUUUCGCAUCUGUCUAUAGAAUUUCAGGGUAUCUUAGCCAAUCAAAAUUUAUACUGAGAAGGUCUUUUGUAUUCUCAGUCGGUCACUACCAGCAGAUGGCAUGUUUGAACCUACAAGCUCUCUUUCUCAACUGAUUAACUUCAUGAAACAGACAUUUUUUGUGAUCUGCAUGAUCUAUCUUUAGUCUUAUUUGAAGUUUCACUACACAUCACUUUAAAAUGAUGGCUUUGCAACUUGCAACUGACCUAUGACUUCACAGUUGCACACUCACCUAUAAGACUUCCCAGAUUGCAUGCAAGCUAUCCAAACAAGAGUGCUAUUUGUAUAAUUUAGUAGAUAUAUACCACGAAAAAAGCCAAAAACUGAUUAUUCUUCCAAAUAAGGGUUUAGAAAAAGAAGCUGAGUUAUUAACUUCCUAUGUAAUCAGCUCAGCUGGUCUCAUCACAAAAGUCAUACAAUAAUGCUAAUUCAAAAAGCUAUCUCAAUCUUGAAGAGACUGCGUCAGGCCUUAGAUUGAACAGUGACACAAAAAAGCGCAGUAUAAAGCAAAGCAUACCUGAAUUCUAAGAGAGACACCCUGA